rnacentral:rRNA from 1 species
GACGAACGCUGGCGGCGUGCUUAACACAUGCAAGUCGAACGGAAAGGCCCCUUUGGGGGUACUCGAGUGGCGAACGGGUGAGUAACACGUGAGUAACCUGCCCUUGACUUCGGGAUAACUUCAGGAAACUGGGGCUAAUACCGGAUAGGAAUCCUUGCUGCAUGGUGGGGGUUGGAAAGCUUCGGCGGUUUUGGAUGGACUCGCGGCUUAUCAGCUUGUUGGUGGGGUAGUGGCUUACCAAGGCUUUGACGGGUAGCCGGCCUGAGAGGGCGACCGGCCACAUUGGUACUGAGAUACGGCCCAGACGCCUACGGGAGGCAGCAGUGGGGAAUAUUGCACAAUGGGCGGAAGCCUGAUGCAGCAACGCCGCGUGCGGGAUGACGGCCUUCGGGUUGUAAACCGCUUUCAGCAGGGGCGAAGCUUGUGGUGACGGUACCUGCAGAAGAAGCACCGGCUAACUACGUG